rnacentral:tRNA from 1 species
GCCUGGUUGGCUCAGUCGGUUAAGCAUCUGACUUUGGCUCAGGUCACAAUCUCACAGUUUGUGAGUUUGAGCCCCGCAUCAGGUU